rfam:Picea glauca, whole genome shotgun sequence.
ACAUGCUUACAACAUAACAUUAAUGCAAUGGAUCCCAUUAGGACUCAAUAGUUAAGUGUGCUCAGGCUAGAGUAGUACUGGGAUAGGUAACCGCCUGGGAAGUCCCAGUGUGACAUUUU